GCGUCCAUAGCUCAGUUGGUUAGAGCGGUGGUUCGAGUCCACUUGGACGCACCA
rnacentral:tRNA from 1 species